rnacentral:lncRNA from 1 species
GUUAUCUCAGUUUUAUUUUUGGAAUAGAUGAGUCCUAUCACUUGCUCAAAAUACAUUCAGUCGAGCCAAGUCCUAAAAUCCCUCGUUUAACAACAAUGGCGGUCCUCUCUCCUCUUUGUGCCACUGCAGAUCUACCAUCUCACUAUCUCAGUGCCGAUUUGUAGAAAGGUGAUUGUGAUCAACCCUCAAUUUCUUAAUUCCACCAAAAAAAUUGCCAAAGAAGGCAAAGCCCUAGCUAAUUCUUCACUUGUAAUUGGUAGUUAAGAUUCUGAACGAAAAUUUUUGUAAUCGUCCCUCCAACUUUUAUUUUACAUCUGUAUAUUACGUUUGUAAUUGUUUGAGCAUGAAUAUCUUUUCUAUAUCUAUCAAUUGUUUGUUGAAUUUGCUAAAGAUUUUACUGGAGGUAUAGAAAUUUGAGUGAUUCAUGAUGAGAAUUCUGGCAUUUUACCGAUGGUUAGUGGAGAAGUAUCCGAUGGUGGUGAUGGAUGUGAUUGAAAAAAGAGAAGUAGAAAUUGAGGGAACUUCGAUUCCCGUGGAUACCAGCACACCUAAUCCUAAUAACAUCGACUACAAUAACCUUAAUGAACGCGAUUAUUCAUCCAUGUUUUCACCCUGAAGACCGGGUAUGAAUAACUUAAUUUUGAUUUUAGAUAUAUUUUCAUUAACUUGUUUCUUUGGUUUAUGUGGUUAUUAUCAAUUUUUAUGGUUUUUGUGAUUUUAUAGUGGUAGAUUUAUUUUGAUGCCAAAAAAAAUAUAUAGUUGGUGAUUGUAAUGAUGUAACUUAUUGAAUUGGGUUGUUUAUUUUUUGAAUUUGUAAUGCUAUACAAGUAUUUGUUACACAUGUUAUGAUGUAUGAUGCUUUUGAAGUGUUCUAACAGUAUAUUGGGAAUUGUUGGAUAUAAGUGAGGAUAUGGUUGUGUCAUAUAGUUGUUCACAUGUUUAAGGGUCUGAUUGGGCAUUUACGGCUUAGUUCAGGAGGUAUAGUUACUAGUUUUGUAGUGUGAAAGAUAAGAUACAGAGUUGAAGAAUAAGGUUAAUCAUACUUAUUGCCAUUGAAAGAAAAGAAAAGGUUGUGUUAGCUAUAUGUAUUAUCUCUCUAUUUAAUUUAUUUGUAAACUGGCUUUGUAUUGUAUCAAAUGUUGAAGCCUAUGAGAUUUGAUUGAAAAUUGCUUAUUCUCUCCUUCCAUUGGUCUUGACUCUUUCAAAGAAUUUUCAACCUUUCUGUCUCUGGCAUUUUCAUUUGAUUCUGUGUGUUUGUUCAGAUUUUUCAUAUGCUCCUCUCACUAUCAUUACAGUUCUUCUAUAUCUAUUGUCUAUUACUCAGUAAACAGUGAAAACAGAAAGAAGUUAUUGUCCUUGAGGCCUUGUAGUGUAGUAUCAUUUUUAGUAAAAUGUCUAGUAUGGAGUAAUAUUUAACAUGAGUAACAUAAUCAUUAAAGACAUUUUCCCAUUAGAUAUAUUGUCUCAGGAUAGAGUUCCAAUUCUCUUAUCUCCCUAAAUCCUAUGACCAUAAUAAUAUGUUUUUUUAAGUGGAUUUUGAAAAAUAUAUAAAUGGAAAAUAGACUAAUUGUUAAUUUUAUGCGAAUAAUAGAAUGGAGUGCAACAAAAGUUAAAUAUACUUUCAAAAUAAUUGUGAUUAUAUAAAUCUUUUGAAUGUUUAUUUUGUGAUCCCACUUUAUCAUUGGAGAGAAAACAUGCCAUUUCUACGCCGCUACUAAGAAAUUGGGCUCAACUUAGAAAGACAGAUAAGGAAAUUACAUUGUUAUUGUCAUCUUGUUAUUUCCAUCUAAUUUACAACAUCUUGUUAUUGUCAAUUUUAUCUCCCUAAUUACAUUAUUUUUAAUAAUCUUCAACUUACAUUUUUAUCUUCUUAAAUUAUGCAGGAUAAGAUCUCACAAAGAGUCUUCUGAUUUGAGCAAUGUGGUGUUGCCUUCAGUUAGUUUCUAAUACUACUACAUAAUCUCACAGCAGCAACAAGAUGUGCCAGUAUCAUUUGGUACUACAUGUAACAUAAUAGUAUAUUCUUACUUUACCAUUGCACUUCCUUCAUAUUAGACCACAAUUUCAUUAUACAAUAAAAAAUAAUAAUUCUUUUUUACUCCAUGUACAUGAUGAUGGCAAAUAGAUUGUCUAUGUGCUAGAUUU